AAGUUUCCUCUCGGGGGAAGAUGGAGGAGAAGUUUCCCUCUGGGAGGAAGAUGGAGGAGAGGUUUCCCUCUGGGAGGAAGAUGGAGGAGAGGUUUCCCUCUGGGAGGAAGAUGGAGGAGAGGUUUCCCUCUGGGAGGAAGAUGGAGGAGAGGUUUCCCUCUGGGAGGAAGAUGGAGGAGAGGUUUCCCUCUGGGAGGAAGAUGGAGGAGAGGUUUCCCUCUGGGAGGAAGAUGGAGGAGAGGUUUCCCUCUGGGAGGAAGAUGGAGGAGAGGUUUCCCUCUGGGAGGAAGAUGGAGGAGAG